UACGGAGGAUCCAAGCGUUAUCCGGAAUCAUUGGGUUUAAAGGGUCCGUAGGCGGCCCCGUAAGUCAGUGGUGAAAUCUCCCGGCUCAACCGGGAAAUUGCCAUUGAUACUGCAGGGCUUGAAUUAUUGGGAAGUAACUAGAAUAUGUAGUGUAGCGGUGAAAUGCUUAGAUAUUACAUGGAAUACCGAUUGCGAAGGCAGGUUACUAUCAAUACAUUGACGCUGAUGGACGAAAGCGUGGGGAGCAAACAGG
rnacentral:rRNA from 1 species